rnacentral:rRNA from 1 species
GAGUUUGAUCCUGGCUCAGAACGUACGCUGGCGGCACGCCUAACACAUGCAAGUCGAACGAAGUAGCAAUACUUAGUGGCAGACGGGUGAGUAACAUGUGGGUAUCUACCCUUUGGCCUGGAAUAACACGAGGAAACUUGUGCUAAUACCGGAUAAGUCUUUACAGAGAAAGCUUUAUGCACCAUUGGAUGAGCCUGCACUUGAUUAGUUAGUUGGUAGGGUAAUGGCCUACCAAGACUUUGAUCAAUAGCUGAUUUGAGAGGAUGAUCAGCCACAUUGGGACUGAGACACGGCCCAAACUCCUACGGGAGGCAGCAGUGGGGAAUCUUGCACAAUGGAGGAAACUCUGAUGCAGCGAUGCCGCGUGAGUGAAGAAGGCCCUUGGGUUGUAAAGCUCUUUCGUCGGGGAAGAAAAUGACUGUACCCGAAUAAGAAGGUCCGGCUAACUUCGUGCCAGCAGCCGCGGUAAUACGAAGGGACCUAGCGUAGUUCGGAAUUACUGGGCUUAAAGAGUUCGUAGGUGGUUGAAAAAGUUGAAAGAAUACCAAUGCGAAGGGCAGCUUUCUGGAUCAUUACUGACACUGAGGAACGAAAGCAUGGGUAGCGAAGAGGAUUAGAUACCCUCGUAGUCCAUGCCGUAAACGAUGUGUGUUAGACGUUGGGAAUUUAUUUUCAGUGUCGCAGCGAAAGCGAUAAACACACCGCCUGGGGAGUACGACCGCAAGGUUAAAACUCAAAUGAAUUGACGGGGACCCGCACAAGUAGUGGAGCAUGUGGUUUAAUUCGAAGAUACGCGCAGAACCUUACCAACACUUGACAUGUUCGUCGCGACUCUAAGAGAUUAGAGUUUUCGGUUCGGCCGGACGAAACACAGGUGCUGCAUGGCUGUCGUCAGCUCGUGUCGUGAGAUGUUGGGUUAAGUCCCGCAACGAGCGCAACCCUCACUUUUAGUUGCCAUCAUUUAGUUGGGCACUCUGAAAGAACUGCCAGUGAUAAGCUGGAGGAAGGUGGGGAUGACGUCAAGUCCUCAUGGCCCUUACGUGUUGGGCUACACACGUGCUACAAUGGUAUCUACAACAGGAAGCGAGACGGCAACGUUAAGCAAAUCCCAAAAAGAUACCUCAGUUCGGAUUGCACUCUGCAACUCGAGUGCAUGAAGCUGGAAUUACUAGUAAUCGUGGAUCAGCGUGCCACGGUGAAUGCGUUCCCGGGUCUUGUACACACCGCCCGUCACACCAUGGGAGUUGGUUCUACCUUAAGGCAAGGUUUUAAACCCUUGACCACGGUAUAGUCAGCGACUGGGGUGAAGUCGUAACAAGGUAGCCGUAGGGGAACCUGCGGCUGGAUCACCUCCUUUCU